rnacentral:rRNA from 1 species
AUUGAACGCUGGCGGCAGGCUUAACACAUGCAAGUCGAACGAGUGGCGGACGGGUGAGUAAUGCUUGGGAAUCUGGCUUAUGGAGGGGGAUAACGACGGGAAACUGUCGCUAAUACCGCGUACCAUAGGAUGAGCCCAAGUGGGAUUAGCUAGUUGGUGGGGUAAAGGCCUACCAAGGCGACGAUCAGUAGCGGGUCUGAGAGGAUGAUCCGCCACACGGGGACUGAGACACGGCCCAGACUCCUACGGGAGGCAGCAGUGGGGAAUGUUGGACAAUGGGCGCAAGCCUGAUCCAGCCAUGCCGCGUGUCUGAAGAAGGCCUUCGGGUUGUAAAGGACUUUUGUCAGGGAAGCGGUACCUGAAGAAUAAGCACCGGCUAACUACGUGCCAGCCGCCGCGGUAAUUC